GAUGAAGAACGUAGCGAAAUGCGAUACGUAAUGUGAAUUGCAGAAUUCAGUGAAUCAUCGAAUCUUUGAACGCAUAUUGCGCUCUCUGGUAUUCCGGAGAGCAUGCUUGUUUGAGUAUCAGUAAACACCUCAACUUCCAUAUCUUUUUUGAAAUGGGAGUUGGACUUGAGUGAUCCCAACGCUUUUCCUCACCGAAAAGUGGCGGGUUACUUGAAAUGCAGGUGCAGCUGGACUUUUCUCUGAGCUAUAAGCAUAUCUAUUUAGUCUGCCUAAAAAACAGAUUAUUACCUUUGCUGCAGCUAACAUAAAGGGGAUUAGUUCUUGUGCUGACUGAUGCAGGAUUCACAAAGACAGGCUUCGGCCGACUUUGUAAACUCGAUCUCAAAUCAAGUAAGACUACCCGCUGAACUUAAGCAUAUCAAUAAGCGGAGGA
rnacentral:misc_RNA from 1 species